rnacentral:piRNA from 1 species
UGUGCAGAGGAGGCCAAGAUAGCCUAUA